rnacentral:rRNA from 1 species
UAGGGAAUCUUCGGCAAUGGACGAAAGUCUGACCGAGCAACGCCGCGUGAGGGAAGAAGGCUUUCGGAUUGUAAACCUCUGUUGUUAGAGAAGAACAAGGACGUUAGUAACUGAACGUCCCCUGACGGUAUCUAACCAGAAAGCCACGGCUAACUACGUGCCAGCAGCCGCGGUAAUACGUAGGUGGCAAGCGUUGUCCGGAUUUAUUGGGCGUAAAGCGAGCGCAGGCGGUUUCUUAAGUCUGAUGUGAAAGCCCCCGGCUCAACCGGGGAGGGUCAUUGGAAACUGGGAGACUUGAGUGCAGAAGAGGAGAGUGGAAUUCCAUGUGUAGCGGUGAAAUGCGUAGAUAUAUGGAGGAACACCAGUGGCGAAGGCGGCUCUCUGGUCUGUAACUGACGCUGAGGCUCGAAAGCGUGGGGAGCAAACAGG